CGGGGGACGGAGGAAGUUUGGUUGAACUGUGCCAUCGCCGCAGUGCAGCAUCCGUAUUCACGAAAGCUGUUACGCUACAUGGCUGGCGGUAGGGCCUAGCGGGGAAGGGGAAUUUGCGCAAGUGGCGUACCCGGUUAAUGGCGGCAGUUGGGCUGCCGCCUUCCUUCGCUGUUCGCUCCUGUGCCUCAACCCUCAGAGAGCCCCAGUUUAGAGGCCUAGAGCGUGAGUUACAGUUGAUUCUGUCAUAGAAGCCAGCUAUCAAGAAAAAGAGGAAUACCUCCCACACACACACUUCAGUAUUAAUACUCUAGGCCAGCAAAAUCUUGGAAUCAGUGAACCUCAGGAUUCAAAAGAAGCUUUUGCAGCUGGAAACUUUACUGGAAGAUGCAAAGUCGUCACUUCUGCUGUCCCUCUCAGAAUUGCUGUGACAGAGCUUUUCAAGGGAAAUCACCACUAAAUGCAGCUAGGGCUGCCUGGAAGAAAAAGUACCGAGAACUCUGUUGGCCUCCUUGUGAUGUCAGUUGAUGAUCUAGCCUCAUGUGAUGCCGGCUCCUCUGUAUGGUGUUAUAACCUAUUACAGGUAACAACUGUAAUUAACUGUAA